AAUUUGCCCUGGGAAAUUUGCAAAUUUUGUAUUAAUUUGUAUUACAUGCAGAAAAAUGCACCACAUUUGGGCCGAAAGUGGUGCAUUUUUCUGUGUGUAAUACAAAUUAAUACAAAAUUUGCAAAUUUUGUAGGGCUACAU